rnacentral:rRNA from 1 species
GACGAACGCUGGCGGCGUGCUUAACACAUGCAAGACGAACGGACAGACAGAGAGCUUGCUCUCUUGAAGUUAGUGGCGAACGGGUGAGUAACGCGUAAUCAACCUGCCCUUCAGAGGGGGAUAACAACGGGAAACCGUUGCUAAUACCGCGUACGAUUCAUGAACGGCAUCGUUUAUGAAUGAAAGGUGGCCUCUAUGUAUAAGCUAUCGCUGAAGGAGGGGAUUGCGUCUGAUUAGCUAGUUGGAGGGGUAACGGCCCGCCAAGGCAAUGAUCAGUAGCCGGUCUGAGAGGAUGAACGGCCACAUUGGGACUGAGACACGGCCCAAACGCCUACGGGAGGCAGCAGUGGGGAAUCUUCCGCAAUGGACGAAAGUCUGACGGAGCAACGCCGCGUGAGUGAUAAGGUCUUCGGAUUGUAAAGCUCUGUUAAUCGGGACGAAAGAGUUCUGCGUGAAUAAUGCAGAAAAGUGACGGUACCGGAAUAGAAAGCCACGGCUAACUACGUGCCAGCCGCCGCCGUAA